AGAGUAGUUACCAUGUCCAGGACACAAGUGGCAUUUCAAUGAAUCUUCAACACGGAAAAUAAGAGCUGGGGAGAGCAGCCAAGGCAAAAGUGGGUCCAGGAGUUUAAUGCUUAAUGAAAUGUCAUCAGGCAGCAUCAAACAGAUUAACUUCCUAAGCUAAUGAACAAGCCUGGAACACUCCUUCAGCCAAUUCUUCCACACAUUUGGAUACAAAGUGUGCCGGCUGGAACAGAAACACAGAAACACGUCCCCAUUGCCUGCUAAGAGAACACGGCAUGGCUGGAUCUGAAGGUGGGAAGGUAACACCUUGCAGGUUAACUCGGUACUGGGGGAUUUCCCAGGCAGAACUGCCACAUCCCGGCUGAAAUCUGCCUUUGAAGUCCUCUUCAGAGCAAUCCCCUGGCAGCCAGCCAGCCAGCCACGGCAGGCACCACAACCAGAUGUCGUCCAAGGACGCCUGGGGCGCCCAGCAUAUAAAAUAAUAAAUGAGAUCAGUAAAGAACGGGUGGUGGAGCGGGCCAGCAGCGAGAGCGUUUCUUAAUUCAGACGCAGAAAUGGAAGCAGAGAAUCAGACCGAGACAGGGAGCCGGAAGGCACCAAGCUGGUGGACAAGUUGGUGUGUGCUGAUGUGCGUGCCCCGAGCACAGUGCUUAAUCACAAAUGUUAUCUGAUGACACUUCUUAGCGUGGUGGCCAAGCUUUUCUAAGUACAUCAAUACUUCAGAUAUUAAAAAUGCAAGGCAUGGGUUUUGG